UACAGAGGUCUCGAGCGUUGUUCGGAUUUAUUGGGCGUAAAGAGCGUGUAGGCGGCCAGGUAGGUCUGCUGUGAAAACUCGAGGCUCAACCUCGAGACGUCGGCGGAAACCAUCUGGCUAGAGUCCGGAAGAGGAGAGUGGAAUUCCUGGUGUAGCGGUGAAAUGCGCAGAUAUCAGGAAGAGCACCCGUGGCGAAGGCGGCUCUCUGGGACGGUACUGACGCUGAGACGCGAAAGCGUGGGGAGCGAACAGG
rnacentral:rRNA from 1 species